CCUACGGGUGGCAGCAGUGGGGAAUAUUGGACAAUGGGGGGAACCCUGAUCCAGCCAUGCCGCGUGUGUGAAGAAGGCCCUCGGGUUGUAAAGCACUUUCAGUGAGGAAGAACGCCUGGUGGUUAAUACCCAUCAGGAAAGACAUCACUCACAGAAGAAGCACCGGCUAACUCCGUGCCAGCAGCCGCGGUAAUACGGAGGGUGCGAGCGUUAAUCGGAAUUACUGGGCGUAAAGCGCGCGUAGGUGGCUUGAUAAGCCGGGUGUGAAAGCCCCGGGCUCAACCUGGGAACGGCAUCCGGAACUGUCAAGCUAGAGUGCAGGAGAGGAAGGUAGAAUUCCCGGUGUAGCGGUGAAAUGCGUAGAGAUCGGGAGGAAUACCAGUGGCGAAGGCGGCCUUCUGGACUGACACUGACACUGAGGUGCGAAAGCGUGGGUAGCAAACAGGAUUAGAUACCCUUGUAGUC
rnacentral:rRNA from 1 species